GCCGAGAUGAUGUUGAUUCCGUAUUCAUUGUAAACGACCCAUGGCAGAGGCUGCAAUGCCACACUCAGGCACCUAAAUAAAUGGCCUGACCUUUCUCAAAUGCUGAAUACCAAGAACUUCUCACUCGAAUCUGCUGAAGCCGUGGCUGUUCAGCUCCUCUGAAAAUCAAUCCACUCGUUUAGAUGCCUGAAUAUGAAUGUUAGUGCCAGACUUUGGACAGUGACAUAGGAAGACAUUGGCCUGAGCCUAUGCAUGGACUCUCAUCCUACAAUCCAACCCCUCAACAGAUAUAUCCCAGCUUCUGACUGUGAGCCAUUCAGCUACAAUGGGGAGGCCUAGAUGCUGUAAGUGAAUUAACAGAUAAUGAUAGAUAGACAGAUAUAUAGUAUAAGCUAUUCUUUCUACCAUCUGCCGUACGGAUUUGCUCUGUAGAGCUUGCUGUACCUCAUGGGUAUUUAUGUUCCAGAGCCCCACAUGAGAGAGGGAAGGAUUUCAGGCCCAAGUGGGGCAGGAAGAAGCACACGCUCACCUCAGUUGUCUUCUUUGCUGAGGUAAGUUUUGUUGACUUGUUGAACUGAGAUUGCAGAGCGUUGCUCAGUCCAAUAUUCUCACAACUGGCAGUGCCCCAUAUGUAUGUCUGGG
rnacentral:lncRNA from 1 species